rnacentral:piRNA from 1 species
UGGGAACCUCGAUAUUUGAAG